AUUCCGGUUGAUCCUGCAGGAGAUUGCUGCUAUCUGAGUCCGACUAAGCCAUGCAAGUCAGGUCGUAAGACCGGCAAAAUGCUCAGUAACACGUAGUUAAUUUACCGUGUAGCAGAGGAUAACCUUGGGAAACUGAGGAUAAUACUCUAUAGAGAAUAUAAUCUGGAAUGAUGUAUUCUCCAAACGUAAGGCUAUACGAUAAGACUGCGGUGGAUUAGAUUGUUGGUAGGGUAAUGGCCUACCAAGUCUAAGAUCCGUACGGGCCUUGGAAGAGGUAACCCGGAGAGGGACACUGAGAUACUGGUCCCAGCCCUACGGGGUGCAGCAGGCGCGAAACCUUUACAAUGCACGAAAGUGUGAUAGGGGAACUCAAAGUGCCUAUACUAAGUAUAGGCUUUUGCCAAGUCAAAAUUGCUUGGCGAAUAAGUGGUGGGAAAGACUGGUGCCAGCCGCCGCGGUAACACCAGCGCCACGAGUGGUAAUCGGUUUUAUUGGGCCUAAAGCGUCCGUAGCAGGUUUAGCAAAUUACUUGUGAAAUCGAACGGCUCAACCGUUCGGACUGCAGGUAACACUACUAAACUAGAGACCGGAAGACGUUGGAAGUAUUUUCAAGGGGGAGCGGUAGCAUGCGAGAAUCCCUUGAGGACUACCUGUUGCGAAGGCGUCCAACAAUGACGGGUCUGACUGUGAGGGACGAAAGCUAGGGGACCGAACCGGAUUAGAUACCCGCGUAGUCCUAGCCAUAAACGCUGCGAGCUGGGUGUUGCACAAUCUACGGGAUUGUGCAGUAUCGUAGCGAAGGCGUUAAGCUCACCGCCUGGGAAGUACGGUCGCAAGACUGAAACUUAAAGGAAUUGGCGGGGGAGCACCACAAGGGGUGCGGCGUGCGGUUUAAUUUGAUUCAACGCAGAAAACCUCACCAGCAGCGACGGCAGGAUGAAAGUCAGUCUGAAGGUCUUACUUGACGAGCCGAGAGGUAGUGCAUGGCCGCCGUCAGCUCGUGCCGUAAGGUGUCCUGUUAAGUCAGGCAACGAGCGAGACCUGUGCUUACAAUUGCUAGCAGCUAUUUUAUAGGACUGAGCACAUUGUAGGGACUGCCUUGGAAACAAGGAGGAAGGUGCAGGCAACGGUAGGUCUGUAUGCUCCGAAUCUGCUGGGCUACACGCGCGCAACAAUGAUAAGGACAAUGGGCUGCGACUCCGAAAGGAGGAGCUAAUCCUCGAAACCUUAUCCAAGUCUAGCUUGAGGCUUGUAACUCAGCCUCAUAACACCGGAAUCCCUAGUAAUCGGGUUUCAUCAUGACCCAGUGAUAUGUGCCUGCUCUUUGUACUCACCGCC
rnacentral:rRNA from 1 species